rnacentral:rRNA from 1 species
GCUCCUGGUUCAGGAUGAACGCUAGCUACAGGCUUAACACAUGCAAGUCGAGGGGCAGCAUUUCAGUUUGCUUGCAAACUGGAGAUGGCGACCGGCGCACGGGUGAGUAACACGUAUCCAACCUGCCGAUAACUCGGGGAUAGCCUUUCGAAAGAAAGAUUAAUACCCGAUGGUAUAAUUAGACCGCAUGGUCUUGUUAUUAAAGAAUUUCGGUUAUCGAUGGGGAUGCGUUCCAUUAGGCAGUUGGUG